AGCAAACUAGAUGUGCAAGUUGCGUUC
rnacentral:sRNA from 1 species